GAUUAUGGCUCAGGAUGAACGCUAGCUACAGGCUUAACACAUGCAAGUCGAGGGGCAGCAGAUCGAAAGCUUGCUUUGAUGCUGGCGACCGGCGCACGGGUGAGUAACGCGUAUCCAACCUUCCCUAUAGUAGAGAAUAGCCCGGCGAAAGUCGGAUUAAUGCUCUAUGUUGUAUUUAGAGGACAUCUGAAGAAUACCAAAGGUUUACCGCUAUAGGAUGGGGAUGCGUCUGAUUAGGUAGUAGGCGGGGUAACGGCCCACCUAGCCGACGAUCAGUAGGGGUUCUGAGAGGAAGGUCCCCCACAUUGGAACUGAGACACGGUCCAAACUCCUACGGGAGGCAGCAGUGAGGAAUAUUGGUCAAUGGACGGAAGUCUGAACCAGCCAAAGUAGCGUGCAGGAUGACGGCCCUAUGGGUUGUAAACUGCUUUUAUAUAGGGAUAAAGUCGGGGACGUGUCCCCGUCUGUAGGUACUAUAUGAAUAAGGACCGGCUAAUUCCGUGCCAGCCGCCGC
rnacentral:rRNA from 1 species